rnacentral:lncRNA from 1 species
AUUCCCUGAAUAUGAUGGCUAUUCUCAGUUUUCAAUUUGACUAUAUCUGGAAUUAACUAAAACCCAAAAGUGACUGGACACACUUGGAAAGGGAUUUUGCUUAGAUCAUUUGAAGUUGGAUGAUUCAUUUCAGGCAUGGUCUCCCUCGGACUCCCUGAAAUAACUGAGUCCUGCGGGUCGGGACAAGUAGCAUCCAAACGUGGGGCCCGAGGAACAGACCAUCACUGGACAGAGCCAAUUUUCCUGAGAAGGUCACCACUAUGAAGUCAUUUUGAGGAAAGCUCUCACCGCUCAUGAGAGAAACUCAUCCUUGCAGCCAAAUGCAUCACCUCAACAAGUUCUCUGACUGAUUGCAUGGAGAUUGCUUAAGACAGCCAAAAGAACCAAUUUGGUCAAGUAAAAUCAGUUUAAUGGCCAUAAAGUCUGACAGGAACUGAUGAGAAGUUGUGAAUGCAAGACUCCAGGGAACCUUAGCUUCCCUAGGACCCCCUGAUUGAACCACGUGGACCCAGGAUCGAUGCAAAGAAGCAAGAGGAAUUUAUUGUUCCAGUGCACUGAGGUCAUCCCAGACCUGAAGAAGAGGCGGUGACCCCCAGCACCUGCCGAGUUUUCAUAUGGUUUCCAGGGACAGAAUAGAGCAUCAACAACUUGGCACAAUAUGAUUGGUGGAACAGUUCACCCUUUAAACUGAUUGAACUUUAGGGAAUGAGGUGACAAGGGCUUUCCUUGUCUGAAGGUGGGCAACAAUCGGUCCUGCAGAAUGUGUCUCCACCAUCAGGUUGGUCUCUGCCCUGUGGUCUGAGAAAUGGUAAUUAGCCUCUCCCUUCUGGAGGUGCAAGUGUUCCAUGACCUUCCCAAAGUUCCUAAGCUGAUGUUUUCAUGAGAAGUACUGAGUUCCAAGGCCCUUUUUUAUGUUUUGAUGAAAGAACACCAUGUUGGUUUCUCUACAAAGAUUACUGAUGACUGCAUUGAUCCAAGAAAUAGCUAAAAGGUAACAUACUACUAUAAUUAUAUAAAAUAAUACAGCGUUUACAGUUUUGUUUGUAUUUGUCUUUUAUUUAUUUAUUUGCUUAUUUUUGGCAUUUGAAAGAUACCAUGUUUUUGUAUCUAACAAUAAAUCUGGCGAGACCUAAGGUGCAGGUUUCUUAUGUUGAUCCAACACCUAAAACAGGAGCUGCUCUCUUUCUUCAUUAUUCAGGGAUUCCCUCAUUAUUAUGGUAAUGAGGUUAGCUCUGAGCUCCUUCCACAAGAACUCCUCUUUGCUAAUCCUAUAGAGUACUGGAUUCCUGGGGCAUUAUUGGAUAAAAGUUUCUAUUCUUACUCCAACCACUGCAGUAUUUUCACUAGCUCAGCAUUAUGUAUUUUUCUGCAUUCUUCCUUGCAUACAUACUAGUAAAAAGUAACUGUUUUCAUAAAUAAUAAAAAAAAAACCUUCCUGC